UACAGAGGUCUCAAGCGUUGUUCGGAUUCAUUGGGCGUAAAGGGCGCGUAGGCGGCGGGGUAAGUCUGGUGUGAAAUCUCGGAGCUCAACUCCGAAAUUGCACUGGAUACUGCUCUGCUAGAGGGCUGGAGAGGAGAUCGGAAUUCACGGUGUAGCAGUGAAAUGCGUAGAUAUCGUAAGGAAGACCAGUGGCGAAGGCGGGUCUCUGGACAGUUCCUGACGCUGAGGCACGAAGGCCAGGGGAGCAAACGGG
rnacentral:rRNA from 1 species